rnacentral:lncRNA from 1 species
UUUGCUGAAUUAGCAACACUAAGGUGGAUAGUUUAAAAUGGAAAUUAGUUACUGUAUGUAGCACUACUACUAUGACAGUCACAAAGCCUUAAGAAAACACAGUGGCUACCUAAGAGUAUCAUUCUCAGCAGAGGAUUAUAUAGGCUGGUUACCUGGAGCACACUGGCACCAUAAAUUCAUUGUACAUUUUGUAGUAGUGUAAAACUCUUCAUUCUUGCAACAUGCAACGCAUUCGGUCAAGAAAGCAAAAGGAAAAGACAAAGAGCAGAAAUCCCUUAUUACAGCCCGUAAGAAAUAAGAGAACCUAAAGAUCUACCAAGCGUGCAUACAGAUCCAUUUGAAACGUUAACAGUAUUUUUUCCCCUGAAAGCAAUAGGAAACAAAAAGUAUCUGUCACCUAUAUUUCUCUUUAAUGCCUCAGCUUUGCUAUGAAUUCCCUUGCUGAGUGGCAGGUAUACAUGCUCACUUCAAGAUAGCCCUCGGCUCUCUGCCUGUCUGGAUGCUGAUGCCUGAAACACUGCUGAGAAUCAUAGCUUAGUUUACCUUAUGCAGUUUAGUAGCCAUGGUUUUAAUAUCUGGCAUUAUGCUCCCAGACUGCGUGCCAGGCCCAGAGACAGGAAAUUCUAUUUUCAGAUCCAUCAAAUUGGUACUGCUGUAGUCAAGGAUAUUAAAUUAUGUAGUUUUAGUUUGUUGUGUGGUUUCUUACUUUUGUCUACUAUCAUCAGCCACAUAAGACAGGCUGUAAAUUUUGGGAAGAAAUACUAUCUCCACUUAUGUCCUCUGAACAAAGUACAGUGACUGUGGUUCUCUGGAAUUUUCAUUAGAAAGCUCCUUUCUUCUUCCCCUAGGCAUGAAGGACCUUGACCGUUUCUAGACAACAAGGACUAUGCAGUGCAAAGGCAAAACUGCAACGGUAUCUUCAGUUAUCAACCCCCAUUAACAAAGUGAUCUCCACAUAUGACUUUUGCUGAAACAGCGUAAGGCAUCCAGAAGCCUCCAAAAUCUUAACUAAUUCUGCUAAGAAUGUUCAAAGCUGGAAGAUCUCGCAAACCCACUAGUUUAAACCAUGAUAAAGCUGAAUAAAAAUUAUUUUACCAAAAGGAUUUUGAACACCUGUAAAUUUCAGAUCUUUUAAAGCACUUCUCUUCACAUUUCGAACAUUUUUACAGUAGUGUAGGAAAGCCUCAGAAAACUAAUAUACGCACCUAUCAUUAAAGUAAUAGAAAAAAGAAUAUAGAAAAAAAAUCACAAAAAUAGAGCUUUAAAGGUACAAUUUUCAAGAUGUAGCAGAUAUACAGGGUUUCAGACUAUAAAAAUUUCCCUCUCUAUAUAACAAAGUUUGCCUUGUAGUCCUAUGGCUACCUCCUCUGAUGCUGCAGUAACAAGGCAGCUGGAAAUUCCCAUUAGCACUGAGGCUUGUUAGUCACAAAGACUCUGUCUGAACUGCAGGGCACCUGACCUGAGCGUGCAUGGGCGCAGGAAAAAGAUGAAAAAAAAAAAAGAAAAGGACAAC